UGCACGUGUGUGUGCUGGUGGUUGCACGGUACGUUUGCAUUCGUAAGCUAUAACAAAGUGAAGGGCGUUGUGUGCGGUCCCCUCGUUGAGCCCGGGCUCCCGCCUGUUUCCCUCCAUUCGGCUUGCGUCCUCAAGGGAAAGGGGGAUGUCUCAAGGCUGAAUUCCCGUAAUGUCCCCGUGUUACGUGUUGUGUGGCCGUGUUCUGGCCGUUCUCGCGGCCGUCAGUGGCAGCGGUAGAGAAACGGACGGUCUGUGCGAACCGAAGUGAAUGCGCGUGAACGAUGUGCCUGUGUGGUGAAUAUUACCUCCUUCUGAAUGUGUUCUAAUUCAGCUUUAUGCUAAUAAAUGGGUAAGGUUUUCUCA
rnacentral:lncRNA from 1 species